rnacentral:rRNA from 1 species
CGUGUAGGCGGUCCGCUAAGUCUGAUGUGAAAGCCCGAGGCUUACCCUCGGAAGUGCAUUGGAGACUGGCGGACUAGAGUCCCGGAGAGGAGGGUGGAAUUCCUGGUGUAGCGGUGAAAUGCGUAGAUAUCAGGAGGAACACCGGUGGCGAAGGCGGCCCUCUGGACGGUGACUGACGCUGAGACGCGAAAGCGUGGGGAGCAAACAGGAUUAGAUACCCUGGUAGUCCACGCUGUAAACGAUGAGCACUAGGUGUCGCGGGUAUUGACCCCUGCGGUGCCGACGCUAACGCAUUAAGUGCUCCGCCUGGGGAGUACGGUCGCAAGAUUAAA